rnacentral:rRNA from 1 species
CCUACGGGAGGCUGCAGUCGAGAAUCAUUCACAAUGGGGGAAACCCUGAUGGUGCGACGCCGCGUGGGGGAAUGAAGGUCUUCGGAUUGUAAACCCCUGUCAUGUGGGAGCAAAUUAAAAAGAUAGUACCACAAGAGGAAGAGACGGCUAACUCUGUGACAGCAGCCGCGGUAAUACAGAGGUCUCAAGCGUUGUUCGGAAUCACUGGGCGUAAAGCGUGCGUAGGCUGUUUCGUAAGGCGUGUGUGAAAGGCGCGGGCUCAACCCGCGGACGGCACAUGAUACUGCGAGACUAGAGUGAUGGAGGGGGAACCGGAAUUCGCGGUGUAGCAGUGAAAUGCGUAGAUAUCGAGAGGAACACUCGUGGCGAAGGCGGGUUCCUGGACAUUAACUGACGCUGAGGCACGAAGGCCAGGGGAGCGAAAGGGAUUAGAUACCCGAGUAGUC